AGUGAACGCUGGCGGUAGGCCUAACACAUGCAAGUCGAACGGCAGCACAGUAAGAGCUUGCUCUUACGGGUGGCGAGUGGCGGACGGGUGAGGAAUACAUCGGAAUCUACUUUUUCGUGGGGGAUAACGUAGGGAAACUUACGCUAAUACCGCAUACGACCUACGGGUGAAAGCAGGGGAUCUUCGGACCUUGCGCGAUUGAAUUAGCCGAUGUCGGAUUAGAUAGUUGGCGGGGUAAAGGCCCACCAAGGCGACGAUCCGUAGCUGGUCUGAGAGGAUGAUCAGCCACACUGGAACUGAGACACGGUCCAGACUCCUACGGGAGGCAGCAGUGGGGAAUAGUGGACAAUGGGCGCAAGCCUGAUCCAGCCAUACCGCGUGGGUGAAGAAGGCCUUCGGGUUGUAAAGCCCUUUUGUUGGGAAAGAAAAGCAGCAGGUUAAUACCCCGCUGUUCUGACGGUACCCAAAGAAUAAGCACCGGCUAACUUCGUG
rnacentral:rRNA from 1 species